ACUAACAAGGAUUCCCCUAGUAACUGCGAGUGAAGCGGGAAAAGCUCAAAUUUAAAAUCUGGCGGUCUCUGGCCGUCCGAGUUGUAAUCUAGAGAAGUAAUGCCCGUGCUGGACCGUGUAUAAGUCUCCUGGGAUGGGGCGUCAUAGAGGGUGAGAAUCCCGUCUUUGACACGGACUACCAGUGCAUUGUGGUAUGCUCUCAAAGAGUCGAGUUGUUUGGGAAUGCAGCUCAAAAUGGGUGGUAAAUUCCAUCUAAAGCUAAAUAUUGGCGAGAGACCGAUAGCGAACAAGUACCGUGAGGGAAAGAUGAAAAGAACUUUGGAAAGAGAGUUAAACAGUACGUGAAAUUGCUGAAAGGGAAACGCUUGAAGUCAGUCGCGUUGGCCGGGGAUCAGCCUUGCUUUUGCAUGGUGUACUUUCUGGUUGACGGGUCAGCAUCAAUUUUGACCGCUGGAAAAAGACCUGGGGAAUGUGGCAGCUUCGGCUGUGUUAUAGCCCCUAGUCGCAUACAGUGGUUGGGAUUGAGGAACUCAGCACGCCGCAAGGCCGGGUUUCGACCACGUUCGUGCUUAGGAUGCUGGCAUAAUGGCUUUAAGCGACCCGUCUUGAAACACGGACCAAGGAGUCUAACAUGCCUGCGAGUAUUUGGGUGGAAAACCCAAGUGCGUAAUGAAAGUGAAAGUUGAGAUCCCUGUCGUGGGGAGCAUCGACGCCCGGACCAGAACUUUUGGGACGGAUCCGCGGUGGAGCAUGUAUGUUGGGACCCGAAAGAUGGUGAACUAUGCCUGAAUAGGGUGAAGCCAGAGGAAACUCUGGUGGAGGCUCGUAGCGAUUCUGACGUGCAAAUCGAUCGUCAAAUUUGGGUAUAGG
rnacentral:rRNA from 1 species